GGGCUCGUAGCUCAGCGGCAGAGCGGGCGGCUCAUAACCGUCUGGUCGUAGGUUCGAAUCCUGCCGAGCCCAC
rnacentral:tRNA from 1 species